GCCAUCUUUCCUUGAAUGUACCUCAUCUCAUCUGAUCUCAGAAGUUAAACAGAAUUUGGCCUAAUUAGUUCUGGAUGGAAUCAAAAAGAGAAAUUAGGAAAAAGGUAGAG
rnacentral:rRNA from 1 species